rnacentral:rRNA from 1 species
CAGGUGGGUGAGGAGAGUAUCCUAAGGCCAGCGAGAGAACUGUUGUUAAGGAACUCGGCAAAAUGACCCCGUAACUUAGGGAUAAGGGGUGCCAUCGAAAGAUGGCCGCAGAGAAUAGGCCCAAGCGACUGUUUACCAAAAACAUAGGUUUCUGCUAAGUCGCAAGACGAUGUAUAGGAGCUGACGCCUGCCCGGUGCUG